rnacentral:rRNA from 1 species
CCUACGGGAGGCAGCAGUGAGGAAUAUUGGUCAAUGGGCGUAAGCCUGAACCAGCCAAGUCGCGUGAGGGAUGAAGGUUCUAUGGAUCGUAAACCUCUUUUAUAAGGGAAUAAAGUGCGGGACGUGUCCCGCUUUGUAUGUACCUUAUGAACAAGGAUCGGCUAACUCCGUGCCAGCAGCGGCGGUAAUACGGAGGAUCCGAGCGUUAUGCGGAUUGAUUGUGGUUAAAGGGUGCGUAGGCGGCAUUUUAAGUCAGCGGUGAAAGUACGUGGCUCAACGUGAGAAUUGCCGUUGAAACUGGGAGGCUUGAGUAUGUGAGAGGAAAGCGGAAUGCGUGGUGUAGGGGUGAAAUGCGUAGAUAUCACGCAGAACCUCAGUGGCGAAGGCAGCCAGCCAAGCCAUGACUGACGCUGAUGAGCGAAAGCGUGGGGAUCAAACAGGAUUAGAUACCCGAGUAGUC